UGGACACGCUCUUACCAAUGUUCCUCUGCCUGUUUCAGACGAUGGAGAGGGACUCCCCGCCCCCACACAACGAUUGGGGCUGAAGUGGAUCCGUGGAGCGACUGAAUCUUGAAAAUGGGCGGCUGUGAAACAUCCCGGCCCUGGGCACCCAGGACAGAGGGGUGAAGCUGAGAAGCCUGGAAGACCAUGUUGGAGCCCCAGGAAGUUGGGGGCAGGAACUCUUGAGACAAGAUUGGCUGGUUUUGCUUCUCCUGACUUACAUCUGUGAUUCCUAUACAGAAUCCAAGGGUGAUUUGAGAUGAGCCUUCGAGGAAAAUGGAUCUUUCUCUCCACCAGCAUCAUCAGUAAAAGAGAAUUUGGAGCUUGAAGACUUAAAAAAAUUGCAGCGUCUUUGAUCUGCAUUACAAAGGACUCUGAAGUCAUGCCCAGGCUAUGCUAAAAACAGGAUCAAUAAUAAAACUAGAAGGGAUGUGUAA